CCUACGGGAGGCAGCAGUGAGGAAUAUUGGUCAAUGGACGCGAGUCUGAACCAGCCACGCAGCGUGAAGGAAGAAUGCUCUAUGGGUUUUAACCUUCUUUAAUAGGGAAGUGCAGUAUUCGGUAUCUCUUGAAUAGUCUAUGGCUAACGACGUGGGAGCAGCCACCGUCAUACGGAGGACCCGAGCGUUAGCCGGAUUGAUUGGGUUUAAAGGCAGCGUAGAGGGGUUGUUAAGUCAGUUGUGAAAGUUUGCGGCUAAACCGUAAAAUUGCACUUGAUACUGGCAGUCUUGAGUACAGUUGAGGUAGGCGGAAUUCGUGGUGUAGCGGUGAAAUGCUUAGAUAUCACGAAGAACUCCGAUUGCGAAGGCAGCUUACUAAACUGCAACUGACAUUGAUGCUCGAAAGUGUGGGUAUCAAACAGGAUUAGAUACCCUUGUAGUC
rnacentral:rRNA from 1 species